UACGAAGGGGGCUAGCGUUGCUCGGAAUCACUGGGCGUAAAGGGUGCGUAGGCGGGUCUUUUAAGUCAGGGGUGAAAUCCUGGAGCUCAACUCCAGAACUGCCUUUGAUACUGAGGAUCUUGAGUUCGGGAGAGGUGAGUGGAACUGCGAGUGUAGAGGUGAAAUUCGUAGAUAUUCGCAAAGAACACCAGUGGCGAAGGCGGCUCACUGGCCCGAUACUGACGCUGAGGCACGAAAAGCGUGGGGAGCAAACAGGG
rnacentral:rRNA from 1 species